rnacentral:rRNA from 14 species
AUAUGUAGCUACCUCACCCUGAUCACUACUCAUCUCAUCGGCUCUUAGAAGCUAAGCAAGAUCAGGCCUGAAAAGUAUAUGGAUGGGAGACAAGUGAUAGCUCCUAGAAGAACAUGGC